ACUAAUGGUCUUUUAAAGACACACCUCACCAAGCUCAGCCUCCAACUUUAAAAGGACUGGAUAGUACUUUUACCUCUUGCCCUUCUCAGAAUUAGAGCCUGUCCUCAAAAUGCUACAGGGUACAGUCCACUUGAACUUUUAUAUGGACGCACUUUCUUGCUUGGCCCCAACCUUAUCCCAGACACCAUCCCUCUAGGUGUCUUAUCUUCCAGUCCUCUAGCAGGCUAGACAGGAAAUUUGCCAGGCUGCUGAUCUUCUCUUGUCUACUGCAGAUCCCCAGCCAUAUGAAGACAUCCUAGCUGGACGAUCAGUUCUUGUUAAGAAUCUGACCCCCUCAAACUCUACAACCUUGAUGAACUGGACCCUACUUAGUCAUCUAUAGUACCCCAACUGUCGUCUGCUUCCAGGACCCUCCCCAUUGGGUUCACCAUUCCAGAAUAAAGCUGUGUCUGUCAGCCAGCCAGCCUGAUCUCUCCUGUUCUUCCUGGAAGUUAAGUCAGGAAUGUCAGACCUCUGAGCCCAAGCCUGCACAGAUACAUCCAGAUGGCCUGAAGCAACUGAAGAAUCACAAAAGAAGUGAAAAUGGCUGGUGCCUGCCUUAACUGAUGACAUUAUCUUGUGAAAUUCCUUCUCCUGGAAAAUGAGUCUGAGAAGCUCCCCACCAAGCACCUUGUGACCCCCACCUCUGCCCACUAGAGAACAACCCCUUUGACUGUAAUUUUCCACUACCUACACAAAUCCUAUAAAACUGCCCCGCUCCUAUCUUCCCUUCGCUGACACUCUCUUCUGGGCUCAGCCCACCUGCACCCAGGUGAAUAAAACUCUAUUGUUUACCCAAA